GCCAGACUCCUACGGGAGGCAGCAGUGGGGAAUAUUGCACAAUGGGGGAAACCCUGAUGCAGCGACGCCGCGUGAGUGAAGAAGUAUUUCGGUAUGUAAAGCUCUCUCAGCAGGGAAGAAAAACCGACCUUAGGGUCGCUAGACGGUACCUGAUUAAGAAGCCCCGGCUAACUACGUGCCAGCAGCCGCGGUAAUACGUAGGUGGCAAGCGUUGUCCGGAUUUACUGGGUGUAAAGGGCGUGCAGCCGGGAAGACAAGUCAGAUGUGAAAUCCCGCGGCUCAACCGCGGAACUGCAUUUGAAACUGUUUUUCUUGAGUACCGGAGAGGUCAUCGGAAUUCCUUGUGUAGCGGUGAAAUGCGUAGAUAUAAGGAAGAACACCAGUGGCGAAGGCGGAUGACUGGACGGCAACUGACGGUGAGGCGCGAAAGCGUGGGGAGCAAACAGGAUUAGAUACCCUCGUA
rnacentral:rRNA from 1 species